CUAAUUGAUCCUGUCAGUAGUCAUAUGCUCAUCUCAAAAAUUAAACCAAGCAUAUUUAAGUACAUGCUGUAUUAAGGCAAAACCAUGAGUAUCUCUUUAAAUCAGUUAUGGUUCCUUGGAUCAUGCCUUAUUACUUGGAUAACUGUGGCAAUUUUAGAGUUAAUACAUGCAGCAGUGCUCUGACCCUCUGGGGAUGAGUGCUUUUAUUAGACCAAAACCAGUCAGACCUCAUGUCUGUAUAACAGGCAUGACUUUAUGUCUGUAUAACAGGCGAUGAGGAAUCAGGGUUUGAUUCCAGAAAAGGACCUGAGAAAGGACUACCACAUCCAAGGAUGGCAGCAGGUGAGAAAUUGUGUAGUUGCACUAAAUAAUAAAUAUCUGCUGCAUCUGUAAUGAAAAAAGCACAUCAU
rnacentral:ncRNA from 1 species